UUGAAUGGGUAAAUUAAUCCAAUUCUAAUAUGGGUUUGUUUUAUUUCUCUACAUGCAAUGAAGGAUGUCACAUCUUUGAACUUGCUAUGUUAUUUAGACAUCGGUUGGUAUCUACUAUAGUACGUAUGCUUACGCAAAUGUAUUUGUUCAAAAAAAAGCUGUAAUUUGGUAAUAGUCUUUUUUUAACAUCCAGGUUCAUCCUCUGGACGAAGGAGGUUGUCACCCACAGAUUAAGGUCCAUGCAUAACUUGUCCUCUGGAGGAAGGAGGUUGUCACCCACAGAUUAAGGUCCAUGCAUAACUUGUCCUCUGGACGAAGGAGGUUGUCAACCACAGAUUAAGGUCCAUGCAUAACUUGUCCUCUGGACGAAGGAGGUUGUCACCCACAGAUUAAGGUCCAUGCAUAACUUGUCCUCUGGACGAAGGAGUUUGUCAACCACAGAUUAAGGUCCAUGCUUAACUUGUCCUCUGGACGAAGGAGGUUGUCAACCACAGAUUAAGGUCCAUGCAUAAAUUGUCCUCUGGACUAAGGAGGUUUUCAACCACAGAUUAAAGGCAGAAGUCAUUCUGUGGACUAAGGAGGUUUUCCACCACAGAUUAAAGGCAGAAGUCAUUCUGUGGAUGAAGGAGAUUGUCAACCACAGAUUAAAGGCAGAAGUCAUUCUGUGGACUAAAUGAGGUUUUCAACCACAGAUUAAAGGCAGAAGUCAUUCUGUGGACUAAGGAGGUUUUCAACCACAGAUUAAAGGCAGAAGUCAUUCUGUGGACUAAGGAGGUUUUCAACCACAGAUUAAAGGCAGAAGUCAUUCUGUGGACUAAGGAGGUUUUCAACCACAGAUUAAAGGCAGAAGUCAUUCUGUGGAUGAAGGAGGUUGUCAACCACUUGUGGUGGUGCUGUACGAGGAGUUUAUUUAUUUAUUAUCAGUCAUAUUUAUCUUGUCUUAUUUAUUACUCUUGUAUUAUGCUUAGCUGUGAGCUAGCACUCAUCCCUGAGUUGCUGAAAUACUUUCUGCAAUAGGCAAAGUGGGGAAUGCAUGCAUUGCGAUUGUAUGUGUCAGGACCUGUGGAGGGGUGUUACUCACCAUGUGGGGAAUGAACACACAUGGACAACUGGGACAUUGUG
ensembl:lncRNA